UACGUAGGGUGCAAGCGUUGUCCGGAAUUAUUGGGCGUAAAGAGCUCGUAGGCGGUUUGUUGCGUCGGCUGUGAAAUCCCGAGGCUCAACCUCGGGUCUGCAGUCGAUACGAGCAAACUAGAGUGUUGCAGGGGAGACUGGAAUUCCUGGUGUAGCGGUGAAAUGCGCAGAUAUCAGGAGAAACACCGAUGGCGAAGGCAGGUCUCUGGGCAUUAACUGACGCUGAGGAGCGAAAGCAUGGGGAGCGAACAGG
rnacentral:rRNA from 1 species